CACGUAAGGGGCGAGCGUUGGUCGGAAUUAUUGGGCGUAAAGGGCGCGUAGGCGGUCCUGUAAGCCCGGCGUGAAAACCUGGAGCUGAACUCCGGGCCUGCGCUGGGAACUGCGGGACUAGAGUCAUGGAAGGGAAGUUGGAAUUCCAGGUGUAGGGGUGAAAUCUGUAGAGAUCUGGAAGAACACCGGUGGCGAAGGCGAACUUCUGGCCAAUGACUGACGCUGAGGCGCGAAAGUGCGGGGAGCAAACAGG
rnacentral:rRNA from 1 species